UACGGGGGGAGCAAGCGUUGUUCGGAUUUACUGGGCGUAAAGGGCGCGUAGGCGGCGUGACAAGUCACUUGUGAAAUCUCCGGGCUUAACUCGGAACGGUCAAGUGAUACUGUCGUGCUAGAGUACAGAAGGGGCAACUGGAAUUCUCGGUGUAGCGGUGAAAUGCGUAGAUAUCGAGAGGAACACCUGCGGCGAAGGCGGGUUGCUGGGCUGAUACUGACGCUGAGGCGCGAAAGCGUGGGGAGCAAACGGGAUUAGAACCUACCGA
rnacentral:rRNA from 1 species